rnacentral:rRNA from 1 species
AUAUCAAUAAGCGGAGGAAAAGAAACUAACAAGGAUUCCCCUAGUAACGGCGAGUGAAGCGGGAAGAGCUCAAAUUUGAAAUCUGGCAGUCUUCGAUUGUCCGAGUUGUAAUCUAUAGAGGCGUUUUCCGUGCCGGACCGUGUCCAAGUCUCCUGGAAAGGAGUAUCAAAGAGGGUGAUAAUCCCGUACUUAACACGACCACCGGUGCUCUGUGAUACGUCUUCUACGAGUCGAGUUGUUUGGGAAUGCAGCUCAAAAUGGGUGGUGAAUUCCAUCUAAAGCUAAAUAUUGGCGAGAGACCGAUAGCGAACAAGUACCGUGAGGGAAAGAUGAAAAGCACUUUGGAAAGAGAGUUAAACAGUACGUGAAAUUGUUGAAAGGGAAACGAUUGAAGUCAGUCGUGUUCUUUGGAUUCAGCCAGUUCUGCUGGUCUACUUCCUUGGAACGGGUCAACAUCAGUUUUGUCCGGUGGAUAAAGGUAGUAGGAAUGUGACUUCUCCGGAAGUGUUAUAGCCUAUUAUCACAUACACUGGGUGAGACUGAGGACUGCAGCUCGCCUUUAUGGCCGGCCUUCGGGCACGUUCGAGCUUAGGAUGUUGACAUAAUGGCUUUAAACGACCCGUCUUGAAACACGGACC